UAAAACGUAGGGUAAUCAAAGCAAUUCUUGGGUUGCAAGCUACGUCAUAGUCGCCAUGUUGGAUGAUUUUAACAAAGGAUUUUCCUUAUUUACAAUGCUAAUUUCAUCCAACAUCGCCAGCAUUCCAUUGUUCUCUUACUCUCAGGAGGAUGGUUGCAACCCACCAAUAAGCAAACAGUGACAGCAUUUCAAUAGAAUAAUACUGCUGAAUUUCAUAUUAAUAACUCUAUUGAACUCAUUAACAAUUCUUUAUGCAUAUGUAUUGUAUAAAGCAGAAGUGUUCAUGCUCUCUAGCAUUGCUAAACAAUAACUACCUUCACUUGAGAAUUAAGAGAUACAAUGACUUUGAUAAUUCGCCAAUUGGUAAUCUGUGAGUACAAUAAUUAAAGUUUACGCCAUGCAGUCGAAUGCUUCAUUUUGGGUUUCAAUAAUGACGAGGAUGGGACACAGAAGCACGCUGCUGUUUUCAAUUACAAACGUUAAUCGAGAACAGUGUUCAAGAGUUGGUCUAUGCAGUUUGUCGUCAAAGUUACAUUUGUGCUGCAUAACAUUUGGGAUGUUAAUGACAGGAGGGUUUGCUUCAGUUGUGAAGGUACAUAAUAAAUUGGACGGCUAUCUCUAUGCGAUCAAAAGAAUUUAUUUGAAUCAGACAAGUGUUCUGUUAAAUCGCAAAAUUGCUCGAGAAGAGAAGUUCCUUUCUAGAUUGAAUCAUGAAAAUAUUGUAA